CUCACUAUAUCUGACUGAGGCCUGUCCUUCCUGCGGUCCUGGUUGUGUUGGAAGUCCUCAGAAUUUAGCUGUCUCUGAAUUUUCUUUGAGUAUAAGCCCUGCUCAAACCUAAGUGCUGUUUGCCAACCUGGCCAUUAUGAUGACUUGGAUGAAGUGAUUGAGGAUUUCCAUUUCAUCUCUUAUUUUAUCAUAAAUCCUGAUUAGAUCAAGA